rnacentral:rRNA from 1 species
UACGUAGGUGGCAAGCGUUGUCCGGAUUUAUUGGUUGAAAGGGUGCGUAGGCGGCUUGAUAAGUCAGUGGUGAAAGCCGAUCGCUUAACGAUCGAACUGCCAUUGAUACUGCCAGGCUUGAGUAUAGUUGAGGUAGGCGGAAUUGACAGUGUAGCGGUGAAAUGCAUAGAUAUUGAUCAAGAACACCAAUUGCGAAGGCAGCUUACUAAAGUAUAACUGACG